rnacentral:lncRNA from 1 species
CUUCUGUUGUGGAGGAGUGCUUUGAUGCUGCUUGCUUUUUUUGCACAUCAGGAAGGAUGUAAAAAUCAGAAGAACUAUGAUGAGGAACCCGCUAGCUGAUACACCAUACACCCACAUCUUCAGCUUACCAUCUGGAUUAAAAGGUUGAAUAGACCAUCCUUUGAAAAUGUCAUGCAUUUUGGAGUUGACGGGUUUAUUUUUUCCAGCAAUGGUCUUAACAUCAGCUUUCUUAUCUUCUAAACCUGGUACCUUCAUGCAGUAAUCCAGCAAACCAUUUGAUCUCAUUAUUUCUGUAUAUCCUCG